rnacentral:SRP_RNA from 1 species
AGGCGGGUCUCUCCGCAUGGUCAGUCGGAACAACGGGUCAGGGGCGGAAGCCAGCAGCCCACUCCGAUACGCCAGUGCCGGAGGUUUGGCUCGCCACCCU